UUUAAAUGGCCGCAGUAUACUAACUGUGCAAAGGUAGCAUAAUCAUUAGUUUUUUAAUUGAAGGCUGGUAUGAAUGGUUGGACGAAAUAUUAACUGUUUCAUAAAAAUUUACAUUAAAAUUUUAUUUUUUAGUAAAAAAGCUAAAAUAUAUUUAAAAGACAAGAAGACCCUAUAAAUCUUUAUAUUUAAUUUAUUAUAAUAAAAUAGAUUUUUUUUUUUAUAAUAAUAUAUAAUAUUUUAUUGGGGUGAUAUUAAAAUUUGAUAAACUUUUAAUUAUUUAAAAUCAUUAAUUUAUGAMUAAUUGAUCCGUUAUUAACGAUUAAAAAAAUAAGUUACUUUAGGGAUAACAGCGUAAUUUUUUUGGAGAGUUCUUAUCGAUAAAAAAGAUUGCGCCCCCAUGUUGGAUUAAGAUAUAAUUUUAGGUGUAGCCGCCUAAAUUUUAAGUCUGUUCGACUUUUAA
rnacentral:rRNA from 1 species